AGCGAACGUUAGCGGGAGGCUUAACACAUGCAAGUCGAGCGAGAAAGUCAGCUUCGGUUGGCGAGUAGAGCGGCGGACGGGUGAGUAACACGUGGAUAACCUGCCCUUCAGCGGGGGACAACAGUUCGAAAGGACUGCUAAUACCGCAUACGUCGACCAGUUCUGCGGGACAGGUCGAGAAAGCCUGGGAUCUUCGGACCAGGCACUGAAGGAGGGGUCCGCGUCGCAUCAGCUUGUUGGUGGGGUAAUGGCCUACCAAGGCGAAGACGCGUAGCUGGUCUGAGAGGAUGAUCAGCCACACUGGGACUGAGACACGGCCCAG
rnacentral:rRNA from 1 species